rnacentral:lncRNA from 1 species
AGGGAGAGAAAUUAGGACAACUCAUGAACAUAAGAGAAAUUUUCUUAUGCAUCAAAUAAGCCUUUAGAAUUUGCACCUAUGGGGUCCUUUAGAAGGAAGAAGGGGAAAUACUUGUGUUUGAAUUUCCAGGCUCUCUAACAAAGUGUCAGAAACUCAUCAUAAAAACUGACGUGAGCAAAUUAAUACUCGUUGCUUGUUUAUUUUCAGUCAGAUACAUGUACCACCUAGCUAUAAUUUUUUUCUACUCUGAACAUGAUUUUCUUGAUACUGUUUCUUCAAAAGGAUAAUCCUGUUACAACCAAGGAAAAAGACUCAAAUAAGUUAAGUGAGUCAUUAAAGUUGUUGGCAAAGAAGGGCCAAAACCAGAGCCUUCAGACCUGGUUACCAUUCACAACUGUACAUGAUGACCAUGGCAUUGAAGGUAGCUACAAAAUCUUAUAUCAUUCAAGUAACCAGCUACAAGUUGAGCAAUGGAGCUGGAGACCAGGUGAGGCAUAUUGCUGGAUAGCCCAGAAAAAGGAAACUAGACUGCAUCAAGAAUAAAAGCAGAUUGGGACUUUAAAAUAUGAGAGGCAUCUUCAGAAGAAAUAAGAAACCUGGGUCAGAAAUAAUUGAGGUAGGUAGAAUGCAACAGAAGCAUAUCCUAAGCUCUCAACAUAAAUGCAUUUCAGCCUUUGAGGUUUAAAUCAGAUGAGGAAGUGUGAUGUUAGAUUUUAUUUAUCAACUUGGCUAAGUAGGCUAUAAUACACAAG